rnacentral:tRNA from 1 species
GGAGGAUUAGCUCAGCUGGGAGAGCAACUGACUUGUAAUCAGUAGGUUGGGGGUUCAAGUCCUCUAGCCGGCACCA